rnacentral:rRNA from 1 species
AGUGAACGCUGGCGGUAGGCCUAACACAUGCAAGUCGAACGGCAGCACAGGAGAGCUUGCUCUCUGGGUGGCGAGUGGCGGACGGAUGAGGAAUACAUCGGAAUCUACUCUGUCGUGGGGGAUAACGUAGGGAAACUUACGCUAAUACCGCAUACGACCUACGGGUGAAAGCAGGGGACCUUCGGGCCUUGCGCGAUUGAAUGAGCCGAUGUCGGAUUAGCUAGUUGGCGGGGUAAAGGCCCACCAAGGCGACGAUCCGUAGCUGGUCAGAGAGGAUGACCAGCCACACUGGACCUGAGCCACGGCCCAGCCCCCUACGGGAGGCAGCAGUGGGGAAUAUUGGACAAUGGGCGCAAGCCUGACCCAGCCAUACCGCGUGGGUGAAGAAGGCCUUCGGGUUGUAACGCCCUUUUGUUGGGAAAGAAAUCCAGCUGGCUAAUACCCGGUUGGGAUGCCGUUACCCAAAGAAUAAGCCCCGGCUAACUUCGUGCCAGCCGCCGCGGUAA